rnacentral:rRNA from 1 species
AGAGUUUGAUCCUGGCUCAGAUUGAACGCUGGCGGCAGGCCUAACACAUGCAAGUCGAACGGUAACAUUUCUAGCUUGCUAGAAGAUGACGAGUGGCGGACGGGUGAGUAAUGCUUGGGAACUUGCCUUUGGGAGGGGGAUAACAGUUGGAAACGACUGCUAAUACCGCAUAACGUCUACGGACCAAAGGGGGCUUUUAGCUCCUACCUGAAGAGAGGCCCAAGUGAGAUUAGCUAAUUGGUAAGGUAAAGGCUUACCAAGGCGACGAUCUCUAGCUGUUCUGAGAGGAAGAUCAGCCACACUGGGACUGAGACACGGCCCACACUCCUACGGGAGGCAGCAGUGGGGAAUAUUGCACAAUGGGGGAAACCCUGAUGCAGCCAUGCCGCGUGUGUGAAGAAGGCCUUCGGGUUGUAAAGCACUUUCAGUUGUGAGGAAAGGUUGGUAGUUAAUACCUGCCAGCUGUGACGUUAACAACAGAAGAAGCACCGGCUAACUCCGUGCCAGCAGCCGCGGUAAUACGGAGGGUGCGAGCGUUAAUCGGAAUUACUGGGCGUAAAGCGGACGCAGGCGGUUUGUUAAGCUAGAUGUGAAAGCCCGGGGCUUAACCUCGGAACUGCAUUUGGAACUGUUUGACUAGAGUACUGUAGAGGGUGGUGGAAUUUCCAGUGUAGCGGUGAAGUGUGUAGAGAUUGGAAGGAACAUCAGUGGAGAAGGCGGCCACCUGGACAGAUACUGACGGUGAGGCACGAAAGCGUGGGGAGCGAACAGGAUUAGAUCCCCUGGUAGUCCACGCCGUAAACGAUGUCAACUAGCUGUUUGUGUUCUUGCAACGUGAGUAGCGUAGCUAACGCGUUAAGUUGACCGCCUGGGGAGUACGGCCGCAAGGUUAAAACUCAAAUGAAUUGACGGGGGCCCGCCCAAGCGGUGGAGCAUGUGGUUUAAUUGGAUGCAACGCGAAGACCCUUACCAUCCCUUGACAUCCAGAGAAUUUUUUAGAGAUAGAUUAGUGCCUUCGGGAACUCUGAGACAGGUGCUGCAUGGCUGUCGUCAGCUCGUG